rnacentral:lncRNA from 1 species
UUGCAGUGAGCUGGGAUGGUCCCCUCCAUGGGUUUCACACCAGAGCCCAGAGAAAGCACCGUUGGAGUUGUGAGCCAACGGCAAUACGGUGCCUGACAGCUAGGGUGUUUUCCCCGUGGCUGUGACACAUUCCUACCAGGCUAGGGCUCUGUGAAGCCUUUCCCAAUCCCCUUUAUCUGAUCUAAACACAUCAUAUCUAUGCCUACUCCUACUGAAGUUUAAAAAAGGGAUGGAGGAGAGACAGAAGUUGUUAACAGUUAGUGCACUGUGAUGUGGGGGUUAUGCCUGGGAGAGUUUCCAGUUUGGGCUGGACAUUUCCUGAACCUGAUGCUGAGCCUCCAGCAGAAGCUAAGACUUCUCCAUGUUCUUGGUAGAUUUCCUGAUGUGGAAGUAUCUUCCGACUGCAAAGCCCUCCCUUUGGAUUGCUUCAUUCUUUGGGGAGUUGUUUCUGAUGUGUCAUCGGCAUGCUGGUGUGGAGAGAGAUGUCAUCUUUCUGAGAACUCAGAAUGACAGCACACACUCGUAUGAACUAAAUUUGUAAUGUCUGAUCGCACAGCUUCUGAUAGAGUUAGGCACUGAAAAACAAGCUUAACUUGCAACAUACACAUAGAGCUAAUUUGAGAUUUGAGCACUCAUGGGUGCUCAAAGCCUUGUAGGUUUAAGUCUUUGAGUAUUGCAAAAGCUGAUGCCAUCUUUUAUGCAAAAGAAUAGAAGGGAUUCCUGACUGGGUCUCGUAUUCAAAAUCUUUAGUUGCAAUCAAAUACAGCUUGAUAUGAAGAAAAACAUGGUCUUGAAGUAGCAAAGGCAUCAUAUUUGGGCAUGUGCUAGAAAAGUGAUACCAAUAGUUUACUUAAUGAAGCUGAGCACCCUAGCUAAUUAAAAUUUUGACUCAAGGUUGCAUGUGUUAGUUUUCCUAGGACCUUAAAUUGUAACGACACUAGUAUUUACUUGUAUACUUGUAUUACAAAAUAUAUCAUGGUUUUCUGAGCAAUUUGAGUCUAUCAUCAAAUACCAUUCGUAGAACAGUAUGAAAAAGAGAAUAAAAAAAAACAUUUCUACUAACA